rnacentral:rRNA from 1 species
AAGCCGAGCGUGCGGCGCGCGGCCCCCGCCCGCGCGAUGAGCGAUGAGCGAUGAGCGAUGAGCGAUGAGCGAUGAGCGAUGCAUGAAUACGUGAUGCCCGUCGCUCGGCGCUCCGCCGCCGUGGCCGACGGCCGGCGGGCACCACGCGCCGCCGAGCGCACGGCGCAAUCCCGCCCAACGGAGGCGCGGCACGGCAGGCGCGCGCCGGCCCACCCGCCGAUACCGAUUAUCGCCGCCAAUCCCGCCCCAACGGCCCACGCGGCGACGUCGCCCGCCGCGCCGCCCGUUCGGAUCUCCGGCGAUGUCUUCGCAUGCCCGGCGGGCCGCCGCACGGGAUUGCCGAAUACUGACGACGGUCGGGCAGGCGUCGCUCGAUGCACGACGGGCGACGGCGGCGAGCGCCGCCUCGCACGCCCGUGCGCGAGACGCGACGCCGCGCCGGCCGGGACGCCGGCGCGCGAAUGCGCCACUCGCGGACGGCGUUCGCCCGAACGGACCGCGCUUGCGCGCAAUCGGCGCGAUUACGAUCGCGCGCGCCGCGUGGAAGAUCAAUUCUUACGACAGGAUGAGCCGCCGAAAGGCCGCGCCCGCGGGCGCCCGACACGGCGACGGGACGCAACGCGCGGCGCGCUCGCGGAUUUCCACGCGAGGCGCGCCGAUGCGCCGCGCUCGCCGGCGGCCGGCGCGCCCCGCAUCGCCCGGCCGGGAGACGCUCAUAGCGACUGAAUGAAUCCCAAGGUCACCGGCGGCAGCGGCGUCGACCCAACCUACGCCGCGACGUCGACAACGGCCGAACCCCAAGCGGCGAGCCAUGCAUCGGGCACGUCGCGCACGAUCCCUUCCGAACUCCGCGAAUUGCAGCGGACCAAAUUCAGGCUCGGCGGCUCCCCGGUGUUUCAGCGCCCGGUCCAGCCGAACAGGGACGGCAGCGGCGUCGGGGUCGUCGUUCCGGAAAACAGCGUCGGCCGGAUUCCUCCCGGCGGGGCGGCCAACCUCUGCUAUCCGAACAUCAGCUCCUGCGUGAGCGUCUCGGCGCUUUCCAGGAACGGCAGUCUGCGCGGCGUCCACCUGACCACGCCUGAAGGCUUCGAGCAAAAGGACAUGGAGACGAUGUUCGAGGCGAUCGACGCGAAGAACUGCGCGCAGGUCGUGGUGGCGGGGCCGAUCCAGGAGGCCAAGGGGCGCACCGAAAACUCGGAGUUCAAUACGCGGGCGAACAUCACGGCCCGGAUCCACAAGCUCGCGCCUGACGCGCAGGUCGGGUUCGUCGAAACCGAAGCGACCGUUCGUCCGCAUGACAUUUAUGUCCGGCACGAUCCGCAAACCGCCGACGGCAAGCUGGAGGUUCACGUCGCCCCGUCCGACGUAUCGUCGGAAGACGGCGUGAAGACCGGGAGGAUUCCGCAGGACGCAUCGAUACCCGGCCACGCGCACCGCGUCGCCGACGGCGACAUCGUCCAGAGCAGGCAAGGCGGCCUGCGCCGGCUGUUCUCGUUCUCGAAGAACGGGUGAGCGGCCGCGCGAAAGCGCAUGGCCGGCGCGACGGGCGGCGGCCUUGACCGGUUCGGCGAACCUUGCGCGCGCCGUCCAUCGCCGCCGCCCGCUCUGCGAUAAUCGCGUUUUCCCGCAUCCCUGCGCGCCGCGAAGGCGCCGCGCCCCGCCAUGAAUUCACCGUUGCCGCCCGCCCCCGCCGCGUUCCUGCCGCCGAUCUCGUGCCUGCAGGACGACGAUCGCCCCUGGCUGCCGAUGGACGCGAGCCUGCCCGGGCUCGCGAUCAAGUAUCUGCACAUCAAUGUCGCCGACGACGAGAUGACCGUGCUGCUGAAGAUGCCGGUCGGACUCGCGCUGCCGCGGCACCGGCACGACGGCGCGGUGUUCGUCUACACGCUGCAGGGCGAGUGGCGCUAUCGCGAAUACGACUGGAUCGCGCGCCCGGGCAGCGCGGUGCUGGAGCCGGCGGGCUCGCAUCACACGCCGGAGGCGCUCGCUUCGGAAACGGGCGCGGUCGUCACGUUCAACGUGAUGCGCGGCGAUCUCGUGCUGCUCGACGACGCCGGCCGCGAAACGGCGCGCGAGAACUGCCGCGUCGCGCUGCUGCGCGAGCGCCGCUUCGCGCGCGGCGCGCCGGAUGCCGCAGCGCCGUUCGUGACGCGCUGAACGGGCGCGCAUCGCGCGCGCCGGUUCAGCGGCUCAGUCGCUGAGCCGCCGAGCGGCCGGUAACGCGCGGCAGCCCCGCAAGCCGGCGAAACGCCCGGCAGUUGCGCGGCACGGCGACCGCGCGGCAAGGCGAGGCGAGCGCGAACGCAGCGAUUCGAUGCCGGUUUUGCACACCAGGAUGUCGGCCACGUCGCCGAUGCGCGCGACGUCGCCGCCUGCGACGCGAAUCGCGCGGAUCAUGCGGAUCAUGCGGAUCAUGCGGAUCAUGCGGAUCAUGCGGAUCACGCGGAUCACGCGGACCACGCGAAUCGCGAGCAGUGCUGAGAAUCACGAGAACGGACGCGGCGUCGCCCCAAGGCCGGAUUCGCCGCCGACGCUCGACAUGCGCCGCGAACCGAAUCGUCGGCUUCCGGGCGCGCCGCCGCUCGAGCGGUUCGCCGCGGCGGCGCGCGGCGGCGAACCGGUCUCGGCGGCGCAUUGCACGGCCGCCUCGCACGCUCGCGUCGCGGCAAAGACGGUUCAUCCAUGGAAAUGCGGGCGAGCGAAGCCCUGGGCACGCAGCGUCCAAGAUGCCGGAUACCGGGACGGCCACACACGACUAUGCGCGUCGAACCGGCCGUUCGCCGAGUCGUGCUCGACAUGCCGCCGGCAGGCCGGCGCGGCGGGCGUCGCACAUGAAACGGGCCGCGCCGGCUGCGAGCGUCGCGGCCCGAUCGCGACGCGGACGAGCGCCAGGCACGACUAACCGGCGUGCCGCCGUCGGCCCGACGCUUCUCGCGCGCCACUCGUCUCGAUCACCCGCAUGGCGCGACGCGCCCCGGGCGUCACGGUGCCGUCGAUCAGGGACGCCGGCCGCAGUCG